rnacentral:lncRNA from 1 species
UAUGUUUCACUGCCACUUCCUUCUGCAUAGAUGAUAUCAUUUCCCAAAUGAUUUCUGACUGGUCUUCUAGGCUGUCUGAGGAACUUUCACUGCUUGACAUGUGCUGGGUAACCUGCUCGCCACCCUCGAAACUGUAACUGGUAGAAUCUAAGCCACCCUCAGAACUGUCCCCGGUAGAAUCUAAGCCACCCUCGAAACUUUCACUGGUAGAAUCAGACACCACUAUUGCUAGUUUUUUUGGAGGUCCUCCAAUAGGUAUAGAUGAUCGGAUACAUCUAGGCAUUCUCCUCUUCGCUAGCACUACUGUAACAAUGAUGACAAUAAGAACCAAAGAGAUGCUU